GAUGAACGCUGGCGGCGUGCUUAACACAUGCAAGUCGAACGGAAAGGCCCAAGCUUGCUUGGGUACUCGAGUGGCGAACGGGUGAGUAACACGUGGGUGAUCUGCCCUGCACUUCGGGAUAAGCCUGGGAAACUGGGUCUAAUACCGGAUAGGACCACUUCUUGGAUGUUGUGGUGGAAAGUUUUUUCGGUGUGGGAUGAGCUCGCGGCCUAUCAGCUUGUUGGUGGGGUAAUGGCCUACCAAGGCGUCGACGGGUAGCCGGCCUGAGAGGGUGUACGGCCCCAUUGGGACUGAGAUACGGCCCAGACUCCUACGGGAGGCAGCAGUGGGGAAUAUUGCACAAUGGGCGCAAGCCUGAUGCAGCGACGCCGCGUGGGGGAUGACGGCCUUCGGGUUGUAAACUCCUUUCGCUAGGGACGAAGCGUUUUGUGACGGUACCUGGAGAAGAAGCACCGGCUAACUACGUG
rnacentral:rRNA from 1 species